AUUGAACGCUGGCGGCAUGCCUUACACAUGCAAGUCGAACGGUAACGCGGGGCAACCUGGCGACGAGUGGCGAACGGGUGAGUAACGCAUCGGAACGUGCCCAGUAGUGGGGGAUAGCCCGGCGAAAGCCGGAUUAAUACCGCAUACGACCUACGGGUGAAAGGGGGGGAUCGCAAGACCUCUCGCUAUUGGAGCGGCCGAUGUCAGAUUAGGUAGUUGUUGGGGUAAAGGCCCACCAAGCCUUCGAUCUGUAGCUGGUCUGAGAGGACGACCAGCCACACUGGGACUGAGACACGGCCCAGACUCCUACGGGAGGCAGCAGUGGGGAAUUUUGGACAAUGGGCGCAAGCCUGAUCCAACCAUGCCGCGUGCGGGAAGAAGGCCCUCGGGUUGUAAACCGCUUUUGUCAGGGAAGAAACGCUCUGGGCUAAUACCCCGGGGUAAUGACGGUACCUGAAGAAUAAGCACCGGCUAACUACGUGCCAGCAGCCGCAGUAA
rnacentral:rRNA from 1 species